AACAUCCUUCCUUCCUUCCUUUCUACUUCUCUCUCUCUCUCUCUUUCUCCGUCUCUUUCUUUCUUUUCUAUGAAAAAGAUAAGUUGAGCCCUGUACUUUCAGUAGGAAUAAAGAGCAAUGAAUACAUGGUCCUUGUCCUCAAGCAGAGUCUAGUCUCUUAAAGGGGACAGGCAUGUAACCAAAUAAGACCAAGCUCCCUUCAGAAGGAAUCAUCAGGCUCCUUUGGGGCUCUGUCAGAACUCUGUAUACCAGGCUUCAGCUAAAGAACUCCCCACGUUGUUCUAGAAUGCCUUGUCUAGCUUCCCAUUUCAGGAAGAAAUAGUGAACUUCUUAAGGACAGGGCCACUUCAGUCAUCUCUGAAUUUACAGAGCCCAGAAUUGUGCCUAAUACAUAAUAAAUGAUCAACAAGUACUGGUUGAAUUGAACCUAAAUAAAGUGAUGUUUUAUUUUUAUUCUUGAAGGAUUUCUUGCUAUGGAUGAACUUUUUCAAGACUUAAAAAAGGGACAAGCUUCCUGGUUAAAGUCAUGUCAAAGCUGACCCCAUGGCUUGGUUACUGGACUCUGCCUUACUGUCUAGCUCAUACAUUAAUAAAUGGGCACCUUAGCUCUGCUCUGCAGCUCUGGAGACCGUGCUUAGAGCAGGGUUGCCAGAGACGAUGCAGACUUUCAAAAUGUAAGUAAAUACAGAUGAUGUUUAGAUAAAAUGCAAAGUAAAAAAUUUGAAUUUCAGACAGACAACCAAUAUUUUUUUAGUAUAAGUAUGUCACAAAUAUUGCACGACAACCCCAGAUCGGAAGCCAUCUUUCAAAUCAACCUUGAGUUCUGAGGCGCUGAGAAGCACUGCUCAGCUCGUCCAUUGUCACGUUGUCCCUCUUUCCCUGGGGCCUGAGCACUGUCAGGGGCGACCCUAUCUCGCUCUGGGGAGGAGCGUGCGGUGUGGCGGGAUGAGCUCAGGGAGUGGACAGCUGCCGGGCAGCCACGCGAGCCCAGGCAGCCCCAGCCAGUCCAGCAACCCAGCUCUUCUGGGAAGGAGGUUUAAACAAAUACCCUCCACUGGGAAGAAAGAGAUCACGGUGUCUGUGGGUUCUCAGUAUUGGGUGUGUAUGUAAAGCUGUAUGAAAUCGUGUGAAGAGAUUAAAAUUUUAAUGACCACCCUUUGCACUCUAAGGAUCUAUCAAAAUUCCGCCUUGAGCUUCCUGAGAGAGAAACUUCCUUUCCCGUCUCGUUGAUAAACCGACACGGGUUCUGUUUGCUCUGUAAAUGUAUGAAAAAAGGGCUGGCCUUUCAGUUCCUGGUUUGGUAAGGACUGUUGAGAAUCUGGAAGUCCUUGGACAGGCUAAUGAAAUGGAAUUCUGAAGACACUACCCGGAAUCUUAUCAAAUUCAAAGUGAACUAUAAAUUUUUAUCACUUUUUGAAACCCAAGUGCAAGCCCAACUAACCUGGAGGUAGAAUUGGGCCUGUCCACCUGGAUCGGGAAUGGAGGCAGAGGCUGCAACGUGUCCCACGAGUCCGGUGGGGCAGAUCCUGGCUGACGUAAGGAAGACUCAUUGUUUUCAUCUUCAUUAUCCGUAGAAAUACGCCCCAACUGACUGCAGAAAGGUAAUCGAACUGAUCAGCAAAUUCAUAUUAAAUAAGGCAUCUGGAGAAGAUAUUUUUGACACUCAAAGUUGUUUUUAAAGUUUUGGGUUCUAAUUCUUGUCAUCUUAUUUAUUACUGUUAACUCUGCAGAUAAUAAUUUUACCAGUUUUAUUUCAAAAUGUAGUCCAUCUUUUUUCUUUUAGAGCAAUCGCUCUCACUCCCUCUCAACCAUAUACUUUUCCUCUGUGCUUACUUUCUGAAUGUUAAUAUGAGUGGACUGUCCAGGUCAACAUUCUGGAGGCAGCGGCUAUGAACUGUCCUUCUACAGCCAGACGUUGUCCUGACCUCUGUCACAUAUUCACGUGAUUAGUCCAAAAGCCUGUCUCCCCCUUCUCCUCCUACCUGCUCCCCCCACUGUGACCAGGGCAAAAUCCCUACAUUCUCUAGGUAAGCUGAAUGCGUGCCCUCUAUUUUUGUAAGAAUAUAAGACAAGUUUCUACUCUACAUGGACUAUUGUUUCAUUGCAUACCUUCAAAUCCCCUGGCUCUGCUAUUUCUAGCCUUCGGUUGAACUUGGAAAAAGUAACUUAACCUCUUAUGUUUUCUCACCUUUCAAAUGUAGAAAAUAAAAAUUAUCUCUGAAGUUGU